GAGUAUAGAGCAGUUUGGUAGCUCAUAAGUCUCAUACCUUGGGUUGCGGGUUCGAUUCCCACUACCG
rnacentral:tRNA from 1 species